rnacentral:rRNA from 1 species
UACAGAGGGUGCAAGCGUUGUUCGGAAUUAUUGGGCGUAAAGCGCGUGUAGGCGGCUUUGCAAGUCGGGUGUGAAAGCCCUCAGCUCAACUGAGGAAGUGCGCCCCGAAACUGCAGAGCUUGAGUGCCGGAGAGGGUGGCGGAAUUCCCCAAGUAGAGGUGAAAUUCGUAGAUAUGGGGAGGAACACCGGUGGCGAAGGCGGCCACCUGGACGGUAACUGACGCUGAGCACGCGAAAGCGUGGGUAGCAAACAGG